rnacentral:rRNA from 1 species
AAGAUAUAUCUGGACAAGGGUAACCGGGGAAUUUAACAGGGUGUGGUUCCGGUUUCCGCUUUCUUCUGGUGGGAGCGGCGGACGGGUGAGUAAUGCCUAGGAAUCUGCCUGGUAGGGGGGGAUAACGUUCGGAAACGGACGCUAAUACCGCAUACGUCCUACGGGAGAAAGCAGGGGACCUUCGGGCCUUGCGCUAUCAGAUGACCCUAGGUCGGAUUAGCUAGUUGGUGAGGUAAUGGCUCACCAAGGCGACGAUCCGUAACUGGUCUGAGAGGAUGAUCAGUCACACUGGAACUGAGACACGGUCCAAACUCCUACGGGAGGCAGCAGUGGGGAAUAUUGGACAAUGGGCGAAAGCCUGAUCCAGCCAUGCCGCGUGUGUGAAGAAGGUCUUCGGAUUGUAAAGCACUUUAAGUUGGGAGGAAGGGUUGUAGAUUAAUACUCUGCAAUUUUGACUUUACCAACAGAAUAAGCACCGGCUAACUCUGUGCCAGCAGCCGCGGUAAUACAGAGGGUGCAAGCGUUAAUCGGAAUUACUGGCCGUAAAGCGCGCGUAGGUGGUUUGUUAAUUUGGAUGUGAAAUCCCCGGGCUCAACCUGGGAACUGCAUUCAAAACUGACUGAUUAGAGUAUGGUAGAGGGUGGUGGAAUUUCCUGUGUACCGGUGAAAUGCGUAAUAUAGGAAGGAACACCAGUGGCGAAGGCCCCACUUGGACUAAUACUGACAUGAGGUGCGAAAGCGUGGGAGCAAACAGGAUUACAUCCCUGGUACCCACGCCGAAACAAUGUCACUAGCCGUUGGAAGCCUUGAUUUUAAUGCCCACCUAACGCAUUAAGUUGACCGCCGGGGGAGUACGGCCGCAGGUUAAACUCAAUGAAUUGACGGGGGCCCCCACAAGCGGUGGACCUUGUGUUUAUUCAAAGCACCGAAGAACUUUCCAGGCUUUGCAUUCAAUGAAUUUUUUUGAAAUAUAUGGGGCUUCGGAAACAUUGGAACGGGUCUGCAGGCUAGUCCCCUUCGUGUGGGAAAGUUGGGUUACCCCAACCACCCUUCGCUUUCCCUUUUCGCGCCGUUUCGUGGGCCUCUAAGAAUGCCGAGAAACCGGAGAAGGGGGGAGAAUCCAUCUCGGGCCCUUCCGGCCGGCUACCGGUGUUCGGUGCCGUCC